AGUGAACGCUGGCGGUAGGCCUAACACAUGCAAGACGAACGGCAGCACAGUAAGAGCUUGCUCUUACGGGUGGCGAGUGGCGGACGGGUGAGGAAUACAUCGGAAUCUACUUUUUCGUGGGGGAUAACGUAGGGAAACUUACGCUAAUACCGCAUACGACCUACGGGUGAAAGCAGGGGAUCUUCGGACCUUGCGCGAUUGAAUGAGCCGAUGUCGGAUUAGCUAGUUGGCGGGGUAAAGGCCCACCAAGGCGACGAUCCGUAGCUGGUCUGAGAGGAUGAUCAGCCACACUGGAACUGAGACACGGUCCAGACUCCUACGGGAGGCAGCAGUGGGGAAUAUUGGACAAUGGGCGCAAGCCUGAUCCAGCCAUACCGCGUGGGUGAAGAAGGCCUUCGGGUUGUAAAGCCCUUUUGUUGGGAAAGAAAAGCAGCAGGUUAAUACCCCGCUGUUCUGACGGUACCCAAAGAAUAAGCACCGGCUAACUUCGU
rnacentral:rRNA from 1 species